rnacentral:lncRNA from 10 species
AGCGGCUGCAGGCUGCUAAGCGGCUCCGGGAGCUGAUUUGGAUAGAGGCUGUUGAGCAGGGCUGAAGUUGGCUAAUGCCGUGUGCUGUUGGCUUUCAACAAUUCCGAUAGAGAAACUGAAGCACAGAGAGGUUAUGCAGCUUUCCCAGGUUCAUGUAGCUGGUAAGAACAGAGUCCAUGUUCUUAUCACUCAAGAUGUUCUGUUGGGGACGGCAUGCCAUGGUCUUAAGGUAUUGAUGUCCUGUGCCAUGCAAUUUCACUUGGAGUGCUUCUCUACUAAUGACCAACGGAAUGUUAACAAAUAUGAUGCAAGCGGAAGUUUCAAAAUACUUACGUGCUUGGCUUAGCUUGCUCUUGCCCUCUGUUACAACGAUGAAAUACGCCUGGGCUAGCCUGCUGGAAGAUGAAAGACACAUGUAGUAGAGCCAAGUUGCCCCAGUCAUCCUAGCCAAGGCCAUCCUAGGUCAGCCUAUAGCCAUUUGACUCCCCAACAGGUGUGUGAAUCUAAGAACCACCCAGACAACCUACAGAGUCAUGAACUCAAUUAUUAUUGACUGUUUAAAGUCACUGUGUUUAGGGUGGUUUGUUAUGUAAGCUUAUUAUGACAAUAGAUAACUGAUACAGAUGCACUUUAAAGCCAAAGAACUAGAUGAGACAAUCUAGUGGGGGAGAGCAAAAUGAGUAGAGAAGAGGAUUUGGAACUGAACCCUGAUGUCCUCUAAUGUUUAGAGGUUGGGUAGCAAUGGAGGAGCCAGCAAAGGAGACUGAGAAGGAGGUGCUGGAGAAGUGGGAGGAAAACCAGCAGAGGCUUCAGUAAAAUGCUAGUGAAGUGACUAUUGUGUUUGACAAUAUGGAGUUCCCCCAUGUCUUGGCCCUUCCAUGGGCCCCAAGUUCUGAACCUCCUCUAGUACCUGUCUUCUUUCCAUCUCUCAUGUUUUUGGUUAAGCCACUGCUGAAUUUGGCUUGGACUGUUUCUUGAUUGUAUGCCUUCAUUUCUUCUUUCUACAAUUCACUCUUCACACUGCUGAUAAACUAUCUUCUUAGAAUAUCACUGGAUUGCAUCACCUAUCCAAAAGCCUUCCACGGUAUUGCAUGGCAUCCAAAGCUCUCCUAAACCAAGCCCCACAAAACACCAAAAGGACUAUGCUGGAGUCCCCAAAUGUACCACUUAUCAGGUAGGAAACUUUGGGGCAGGUGUACAUUCUUUAUAUGCUUGAGUUUCAUCUCUUUAAAAUUGAGAAAGUAUUAGAACAUAUAAAAUCUAACUCUACAUCUAAACCAGGACCUGAACGUAAAUCUAUUGUCUCUCUCUCUCUCUUUUUCUGUCUCUCAAUAUCAGUUCCCUCCUGCUCUAGUAAACUAAUUGAAGCUGAGCAUAUAGCUGCAUAGCAGGACUACCUUUUCCACCUACCUAUCAAUUAAGUGAGGCCAGAAGCCAUAGAAUGUGAGUGGAAAUGCAGUGUAUCACUUCCUGUGAACUGGGAUUUAAGACAUUAGGUGUCUUUCUCCAAGUCUUCUUCUCUUUUCCCACUAUGGUGGGCUGCAUGACCAUGUGGAAUAUAACUCUCCUGCUAGUUCUGUAGUAUGAGAAAACAUCUUUUUAAAAAAGUUUUUAUAUUUGAGGGUCAAUUUUUCAUGGCUUUUAACUAACACCACAUCUACACCUCUACAGAUGGGUAUAUAAAGUUGUUGAGAAGUAAUGUAUAUGAAAGCACUUUGCAAAAUUUUAAAGUAAGGCAGCCAAGUGAGGUAGAAAGAACAUAGAAUUUGGAUUCUUAAGAUCUGGGAUCCAGCCUUUCCUAAGAUAUAGGCCUAAAGUUAAGAUGACUUUAGGCACCUGUUGGAAAGCAUCUAUUAAUUUCCACUAAUAUGAUUAUUAGUUGAAAUUAUUAUUAUAAUAUUAAUAAUAUUAGUGGAGAGAGUUGAUACCUAUGUUAUUUUUGCUGGACAUUGUGUUAGGGCACUGAUUUGAAACCUGUUUCUUUUUAAGGUCAUCCAUGACUCACUUAAAAAUCCUUCACCCUAUUAUCUCUUCACCCUAUUAUUUGUUUAGCUGGGACUUUAAGAGAACAUUCCUCAUUCUAGGGAUCUUUAACACUGAUGACUCUUGUCCAGGGUAGCAACCACAGUCUAGUCUAUUACUUUCAUUUUAUGAAGGAGGAAUUUAGACCAAGAGGGAUCUAUGUUUGCUAUCUUUGAGCUGGAAAUCUAGUGAGAGAGAGAGAGAGAGAUCGGAAGUGGGAGUGGAGAUGGGUGCAGAUUUUAGGAACAGGGCUGUUACUAGUGCCUACAUCUAGGUAGAGGCUGCCAUGAUGUUCCUUAAAAAUUUGAUUUAAAAAAAUAUAAUUUCAACUUUAAUUUUAGAUUCAGGAGGUACAUGUGCAGGUUUGUUACAUGAGUAUAUUGCAUGAUGCUGGGGUUUGGGAUAUGAAUGAUCCCAUAAUGCAAGUAGUGAGCAUAGUACCCAAUGGUCUUUCAGCCCUUUCUCCCCACCCUGCCAGUAGUCCACCAGUGUCUAUUGUUGCAUCUUUACACCCAUUAACACCCAAUGUUUAGCUCCCACUUAUAAGUAAGAACACACAGUAUUUGGUUUUCUGUUCCUCUGUUAAUUUGCUUAGGAUAAUGGCUUCCAACUCCAUCCAUGUUGCUGCAAAGGACAAGUUUUAAUUUUUUUUUUUUUAAGAGGUGGAGUCUUGUUAUGUUGGCCAGCCUGGUCUUGAACUCCUGGCCUCAAGUGAUACUCCCAUCUCGGCCUCCCAAAAUCCUGGGAUUACAGGCAUGAGCCCACCAUGCUGACAUGGUUUUAUUCUUUUUUAUGGCUGUGUAGUAUUCCAUGGUGUAGAUGUACCACAUUUUCUUUAUCCAACCCAACAUUGAAGGACACCUAGAUUGAUUCCAUAUUUUUGCUAUUGGGAAUAGUGCUUUGACAAACAUAUGAGUACAGGUGUCUUUUUGGAAGAACAAUUUAUUUUCUUUUGGAUAUAUACCCAGCUAUAUAUCCAAAAGAAAAAAUCUAUAUAUCAAGUAGGAAGGUGUGCAAAGAUCAUGGUAAAUUAAUUUUGACCAAGUGGCUCACAAUACAGGUCCCAAGUAGAACUCCUGUAGUUAGACUACACAGUCUUUUUACAACCUCUUCACACUCUGAGAGCCAUUUAACUGAGGCGGAGCAGAAGGAAAAAGACCCUAUCAAUAAGGCAAAAACGCAGAGUAAAUGAUGGUUAUUAUGGACACAGUGGUCUACAUAUGAGGCAGUUCACCACUUUUCUGUGGAUUAAGGGCUUAUUCAGAGUAUUUUGAUUCUCUGGAUUCUACAGGCCUGGCUCUGUUAUUGCAGAAGGGAGUUCAUUUCUUGGCCCUCAUCACCAACCUUCUGCUUUUCCUAAUUAUAAACACUCAUUCUUGAACCUCUCUAAUAGCAUCUUCUAGCCAUAUAAAAACUUCCUUACCCUUAGCAUUCUUUCUCCUGAUAAAACAAUCUAGCAUGAGGUGUGAGAGGCAGGAUUAAUUAGCUUUUCAGAGAACAAUAUUACUGAGUUUGAGUACUAUACAGAUGCUGUAUUCUUGGAUCUUUAGGGCUUCUGAGGGUGAGUUUGUAGAUCAGGGUCAUUCAGCUCAGUAAUAAGAAUUUACGCAUUCUAAAUUAUGACCCUUCUUUCCUUUCUCCAUUCUUCCCUUUCAUUUUUUUUUUUUAAUGGAGGGAAGGGAAGAGAGGCUAGAUCUAGUAUUUUAAAGCAGAUUUGAAAUGUUGUGGAAGAAUUUGUUUCCUGUCUUUGAAAGCACCAUUCUAAUUGCUUUUUUGUAGUUGCCUUUUGUGUGUGAGGGGUCAUGCCAAUCAAUCCACCUCACAUCUAUAAACAUGUCCCAAAGCUUAAUUGCAGAUCUAUUGUUUGUAACUUGAAAUGCAUUUUCCUACAGAAAAAUGAAAGUAUUAUAAUUCCAAGGUCAGCUCAAUUAUGAGUCCAUAAUAGGGCUGAAACAUUGUUUGCAAGCAUUGUUUGCAGUAUGGUAGAAAACUAUACUGUUGCAAGGCUAGCAGAUUUAAUGAACAGGAGGAAGAAUGCUAAAUGAGAAAAAAGCUUACUGUAUUUUUAUCUUGAAUGCCGAUGAAAAAGAAAAAUGGCAAUAUGGUAGGAGUGGUGAUAUGCUUAUUUACUUAGAGGAGGCUACAAAAAGUGUAUUGAAUUUAGGGAAUUGAUGGGGAGGUGGCAGGAGAGGAGUAGACAUGAUGAGCUUAGUAGGAAACAGAAAGUGUUUUCUGCUCUGAGACGUAUCCUGUGUCUACCACGCUCCCAGCCCCUUUGGAGCAUCUGUACCUCCCAAUCUCACACAAGUUACUGUGUGAGUUAAAAUAUUAGUCUCCCUAUACACAGCCUGCAUGUGUCUUAAUGUGUCUCUCAUUUCACAGUCUGUGGGAGGAUAGGUAAAAGGAGAUUGGGGAUCCCAGGUCAUAGUCUCCAUCUUGUAGCUCACCAGUUGGGGUCUAUUUUAAGUCUGAUUAAUGGAGAUACUAAUCUUCAUUAGCAAGGUCUUCAAGUGACUUGUCUUAGUGGAAUAAGUGUGGCAAUAAGAAACAGAAAACUCAAUUUAAAUGGCCCUGAAUCCGUCCAUUAGCACUCAAUAUAAGAAACUGGUAAAAGGAUGAAUUAGUAUCGCCAAAGUAAAUGACCAUCUUUGCCCAGUGCAUUUGGCAAGUCAGUAUGCUGAGACACUGGGUUGCAGAAGAGAAAGAGAUUUGAUUGUAGGGCAGACAAAUGAGGAGAUGGGAGGAAAUCUCAAAUCCAUCUGCCCAGGAGUUUGGGGCUAGGGUUUUUAAAGGUCUUGGAGUGGGCCAAAGUGUGGAGAUCGUUGAUUGCUUGAAGAGUGCAAGGUGAAGUCAUGGGAUAGGGAGAUGAAGAAACUGUAUUCUCAUGCUGAUUCCUCUGUGAGGGUCUUUGAACUGUUUCCCUGGAACUCAGGAUCUGAAAAACUUCUUAAGCAAUCCUUAAACAGAAGCUUUAUGAUUCUAAUGUCAGCAAUUCUAUCAAUAGGAACAGUGGGGAUACAAAUGGUCAGUAUCUAGUGACUUUCAGUUACAAGGAAGUGGGCCAAAGUGCAGCCUGAUUAAUAUAAUUAUAUUUCUGUCUAGAAUUCUUGUUAACCCUGUGGGAGGAUGGCUUAUUGACUUUUCUUUAAAAAUUUUUUUUAAAAUUUUUAAUUUUUAUGGGUACAUAGUAGGUAUAUAUAUUUAUGGGGUGCUUGAGAUGUUUUGAUACAGGCAUGCAAUGUGAAAUAAUCACAUCAUGGAGAAUAGGGUAUCCAUCCCAUUAAGCAUUUAUCUUUUGUGUUACAAACAAUCCAAUUACACUCUAGUUAUUUUUAAAUGUACAAUUAAGUUAUUGUUGACCACAGUCACCCUGUUAUGCUAUCAAAUAGUAGGUCUUAUUCAUUCUUUCUAUUUUUUUGUACCCAUUAACUGUCCCCAUCUCCCUUGCCAGCUCCUCAAUACCCUUCCCAGCCUCUGCUAAUCAUCCUUCUAUUCUCUAUGCCCAUGAGUUCAAUUGUUUUGAUUUUUAGAUCCCACAGAUAAUUGAGAACAUGCAAUGUUUGUCUUUCUGUGCCUGGCUUAUUUCACUUAGCAUAAUGAUCUCCAGUUCCAUCCAUUUUGUUCAAAUGAUAGGAUCUCAUUCCUUUUCAUGGCUGAAUAGUACUUCAUUGUGUAUAUGUACCACAUUUCCCUUAUCCAUUCAUCUGUUGAUGGACAUUUAGAUUGCUUCCAAAUCUCAGCUAUUGUAAGCAGUGCUGCAACAAACAUGGGAGUGCAGAUAUAUCUUUGAUAUACUGAUUUCCUUUAUUUGGGGUAUAUACCCAGCAGUGGGAUUGCUGGAUCAUAUGGUAGCUCUAGUUUUAGUUUUUUUGAAGAACUUCCAAACUCUUCUCCAUAGUAGUUGUACUAAUAUACAUUCCCACUAAUAGUGUACAAGGCUUCCUUUUCUCCACAUCCUCACCAGCAUUUGUUAUUGUCUAUCUUCUGGAUAUAAGCCAUUUUAACUGGAGUGAGAUGAUAUCUUUGUGGUUUUGAUUUGCAUUUCUCUGAUGAUGAGUGAUGUUGAGCACCUUUUCAUAUACCCGUUUGCUAUCUGCAUGUCUUCUUUUGAGAGAUGUCUAUUAAAAUAUUUUGCCUAUUUUUGAUUAGAUUAUUAGAUUUUUUUCCCAUAGAGUUGUUUGAGCUCCUUAUAUAUUCUGGUUAUUAAUCCCUUGUCAGAGGGGUAAUUUGCAAAUAUUUCCUACCAUUCUGUGGGUUGUCUCUUCACUUUGUUGAUUAUUUCCUUUGCUGUGCAGAAGCUUUUUAACUUGAUGUGAUCCAUUUGUCCAUUUUUAUUUGUAAACCUUUAUGGUGAACUCUGAUGAAGAAAUGUGCUAUUUUAUAUAAAUGUUUAUGUUUAACUUUGAUGAAGAAAUGUACUAUUUUAUGUUGCAGAAGCACAGCCUUCUGUUGAAUGAUCUUUUAGAAGGAAGUCCCUUUCCUGUCUUGAGUCUUCAUAGAAUUAGCUUGCUUUCUUCUAAAAAUAUCUGCCCAUCACUCUUAUUUAGAAUUCUUCGUUUUCUGAGACUGUUCAUAUAUUAGGAUGUUCUUUCCCCAGACUCCCUGUUUUUUCGUUUGCUCCUAAUAAAGAAUAGACUGUCUCUUCAUUGAAAGAUUUUUUAAAAAACAUAAAUAAAUUAUGAUAAAUAGAUUGGAGUAUAAAAACCAAUCCGUUUGUAUAAGUUACAAAAGUUCCUGAAGUGUCAAAAACCCUCAUAGUAAUUAUUAAUCAUUUUCAAUUUCCUGAGUUCUCUUCUGAGGUGGUAGAUACUGACUCCAGUUUUUAGUUUGCGAAUCAGCUUAUAUGUCUGGUGUAUGUGCCAAACUAGUCUUACUGUAGCCUGGAGUUGAUACAAGUUAGUUUUAUGGAUAGGUCUGAGAGAUGGUCCCUUUGAGAAUGUCCUUUCAGUUUCUACCUUGCAGGAAUGGGUUAUUCUUACCCCCAUAUGUUUCAUUCCAUUUUCCUCCCCUAUGUAAACUUCCCCUCACCCAACAUUGCUUGGGUCUCCUGUGUUCCCUAGUGUGCAUCAAACUAACCUGUGUUGACCUAAAAGGAAGAAGCUUAAGCAAAAUUAAUAUAAGUAGAGAGUUAAUUUGGGCCAAGUUUGAGGAUUGCAACCUGGAAGCAUAGAUUCAAGUUGUCCUGAAUAUACAUUCCAGAUAAUAGCAGUUACAAGUAGAUUUUUAAAGGCAGAAAGAGGGGGCAGGGAGUGGGCUGAUACAAAGUCAUCUGUCAGGAAUUCUCAUUGGUUUACAGAAAUAACAUUGACUGGUGAUUGGCUAGACGUUGUUAAACUAUAGGGUGUUGUUUAUAGUGUCCGGUGUGGCAUUAGGUUAAUUUAUAGCAACUUGUGGCAGUAGCAAGCAGUUUCAAGAGUUGAAUACAUAGCUCAAAGAAGGGAGUAGGGUGUGAUUGCUGUCUCAUUUCAAUGCCUCUCUGGGCCUAAUAAUUUGAAAAGGCUUACAUUCCUCAGAUCAACCUUUUUUUUUCUUUCCUCACCUUGACAGUUUACUAGGACAUGGGUUGCUGGGCUUCACUUUGGGAGUUUCUGAUUAAGCAGGUUUGAAGUUGGGCCCAAGAAUGUGCAUUUCAAACAAGUUCCCGUGUGAUAUUGAUGCUUCUGGCCACAGGGCCGCUUUGCCCUAGGUCAAUUAGGGUCCUAGCUUCUAGCAAGAGCAGUAUUCUCUGUGGCUCUAAGCUUCAGCAUUGUUCACCCUAUCACAAUCAGGCCUCUCUGUAACUUUGCUCUAGACACUCCAAGCUUCAUAGCUGGUUCCCUGGAGGUUGAAGUCAAUUUCCUACUUAAACCCCAAAGACACUUUUCCAGACUUCUGAUUGUAGAGUCCAGUUCUGACAGCUGUGCACGUUGGAAGUCUCCAGGGUUCUGGGCUUUUCAAGUCUCAACCUCUCUUCAUUCCGGUUCCCUCUAUUCGUUUCAGUUGCCAGCAAAUACACCCCACUGAAGCUUAGCUUUUCACCUCCUCUUCUAAGUAGCACCUAAUCCUAAUUCAUUCAUGAUGGGUGUGUGAUCCUGAGAGCCAUUUAGUAUUUCAUCUUUUCCCUCCAUAGCUUAGCUUAGUCCAUUUUGUGUCGCUGCAACAGAAUACCACAGCCUGGAUAUUUUAUAAAGAAAGUGAUUUUAUUUAUUACAGUUCUGGAGGCUGGGAAGUCCAAGAUUGAGGGGCGGGCAUUUGGUGAAAGCCUUGCUGCAUUAGCCCAUGGUGGAAAGUGAAAGGGCAAGAGAGUGAAGGAGAGUAAGAGGGGGCCAAACUCGCCUUUAUAACAAGGCUACUCUCUUGAUAACUAACCUACACCAGCAAUAACAACAUCAAUCCAUUCCUGAGAGCAAAUCCCUCAUGACCUAAUCACUUCCUAUUAGGCCCCACCUGCAACACUGCUGCGUCGGGGGGAUUAAGUUUUCAACACUUGAACUUCAGGGACACAUUCAAACCAGAGCAUAGCUUUUAGCAGAUAUUCAUUGCCUGCCUCAAAGCUGCUGUAAUUGAAGGUGGGGACUGGGUUCCAGGGCUUACUGUGGCUCCUAGAUCUGUAAGUUAAGGUACGUCCCAUGUGCUAUUCCAUUACUCAAGACAUUGAUCUUUCUCCCAGGGAAAUGGUUUUGCGGAAAUGCAGUUUCAGGCUGAUAGCAGCUUUGGAGUAAAGCCAAGGUCUCAGUAAUAUUUCUUUUAUUUGUUUCCCAACAGUCUGACAACAAAGCCUUUGUUCUCUAGAGAAACAGAUUUUGUGUGUGUGUGUGUGUGUGUGCGUGUGUGUUUAUUAUAAGGAAUUGGCUCAUUGGCUCAUGCAAUUAUGGAGGCUGAGAAACUUUACAGUCUGCCAUCUGCAAGCUGGAGACCCAAGAGAUCCUGUGGUGUCCAGUCCAAGUGCAGGAGAAGACUGAUGUUCCAGCUUGAAAACAGUCAGGCAGAGAGAAUGAAUUCUCCCUUUUGUUCUAUUCAGGUCUCUAAAGGAUCAGAUGAGGCCCACCCACAUUGGGAAGGGCAAGCUGAGACUAAGUCAGCUGACUCAAAUGUUAACUCUUCCAGAAACCCUCAGAAACUCACCCAGAAUAAUGUUUAACCAAAUAUCUGGGCACUCCAUGUCCCAGUCAAGUUGAUACAUAAAAUGAAUGAUCACAGCCUUACUCCUAACUAAUUCCUGUUAAUCAUAGGGGUUCAUAUAAAUGAAUAGUCACACAGAGCAUCUUCUCAGGUACCAUGAUAAGCUUGCCAUAUUUUCCCUUUCCUUCAGGAUCGCCCCCUUCUCAGAUGAUCUGCUGCUCACCUCAGAUACCUACAGAGACUCUGCUGGUGCCUGUCAAAGGUGCUGUCACCUCCCACUCCCACAAAAAGUGCCGCUGCUCUCUCUCAUCUGCUGAAGGUAGCACUGCUGGAAGUCUUGUAUGGAAGUGGAAGAUCUGAUGUCUUUGCUGAAUGUAUUAGCACCUCUGGUUGGCAAGGUUGCUAGUGUUCCACUCUGCUGAUGCAGGCACUGGUGGUGGCAUUGAUGUGAUAAAGACUUCAAAGCACCAAUAGGUUCUCUACUGAAGUGGAAAGGAUCUUUUUAUGUCUUUUGUCUUAUAUUUCUACCUGGGCUCCAAAGUCAUGCUUCCUGGUGUUGCCAGUGAGCAGGGAGAAUUUAGUGAAGAAGCUUUUUGCAGAGAUGACUAGCUGUCUGCUAAAAUUCCAUUAUGUAGAAUAAGUGCCAAGAAGUAGCCACACACACAUUAAAAAAAAAUUCUGAGCCCCUGUACCCCACCUUUGCAUUUAGUGGAGUCAUAGGACUAGCUCACACCCAUGUGAACAGAGCUGAUGUGUCUCAUUUCUGGGCCAAGGAGUUUAAGAAGUGGGGUUUGUCUCCUUUACAUUCUCUUUUUCCUCUUCUGCCAGCUCUAAUACCUCAAGGAAUGUCAGAAUAUGGGACAGAAGGAGCCAGGACAUCCACCUUGCACUGUUCUGGGAGGAAGAAAUACAUUUUCUGGCCUGCGCAGGGUGGCUCACGCCUGUAAUCCCAGGACUUUGGGAGGCUGAGGUGGGCAGAUUGCCUGAGCUCAGGAGUUUGUGACCAGCCUUGGCAACACAAGGAAACCCCAUCUCUACUAAAAUACAAAAAAUUAGCCAAGUGUGGCAGCGCGAGCCUGUAAUCCCAGCUACUUGGGAGGCUGAGGCAGGAGAAUUGCUUGAACCCAGGAGGCAGAGGUUGCAGUGAGCUGAGAUCAUGCCACUGCACUUCAGCCUGGGCGACAGAGUAAGAAUCUGUCUCAAAAAAAAAAAAAGAAGAAAUACAUUUUCUGUAUACUUAAAAAUAAUUAAAAUGAGGAGAUCGAGACCAUCCCGGCUAAAACGGUGAAACCCCGUCUCUACUAAAAAUACAAAAAAUUAGCCG